rnacentral:rRNA from 1 species
ACUUAUGGCGCAUUAGCUGGUUGGUAGGGUAACGGCCUACCAAGGCGACGAUGCGUAGCCGACCUGAGAGGGUGACCGGCCACACUGGGACUGAGACACGGCCCAGACUCCUACGGGAGGCAGCAGUAGGGAAUUUUCGGCAAUGGGGGAAACCCUGACCGAGCAACGCCGCGUGAAGGAAGAAGUAAUUCGUUAUGUAAACUUCUGUCAUAGAGGAAGAACGGUGGAUAUAGGGAAUGAUAUCCAAGUGACGGUACUCUAUAAGAAAGCCACGGCUAACUACGUGCCAGCAGCCGCGGUAAUACGUAGGUGGCGAGCGUUAUCCGGAAUUAUUGGGCGUAAAGAGGGAGCAGGCGGCACUAAGGGUCUGUGGUGAAAGAUCGAAGCUUAACUUCGGUAAGCCAUGGAAACCGUAGAGCUAGAGUGUGUGAGAGGAUCGUGGAAUUCCAUGUGUAGCGGUGAAAUGCGUAGAUAUAUGGAGGAACACCAGUGGCGAAGGCGACGAUCUGGCGCAUAACUGACGCUCAGUCCCGAAAGCGUGGGGAGCAAAUAGGAUUAGAUACCCUAGUAGUCCACGCCGUAAACGAUGAGUACUAAGUGUUGGGAGUCAAAUCUCAGUGCUGCAGUUAACGCAAUAAGUACUCCGCCUGAGUAGUACGUUCGCAAGAAUGAAACUCAAAGGAAUUGACGGGGGCCCGCACAAGCGGUGGAGCAUGUGGCUUAAUUCGAAGCAACGCGAAGAACCUUACCAGGUCUUGACAUCGAUCUAAAGGCUCCAGAGAUGGAGAGAUAGCUAUAGAGAAGACAGGUGGUGCAUGGUUGUCGUCAGCUCGUGUCGUGAGAUGUUGGGUUAAGUCCCGCAACGAGCGCAACCCCUGUUGCCAGUUGCCAGCAUUAAGUUGGGGACUCUGGCGAGACUGCCGGUGACAAGCCGGAGGAAGGCGGGGAUGACGUCAAAUCAUCAUGCCCCUUAUGACCUGGGCUACACACGUGCUACAAUGGACAGAGCAGAGGGAAGCGAAGCCGCGAGGUGGAGCGAAACCCAUAAAACUGUUCUCAGUUCGGACUGCAGUCUGCAACUCGACUGCACGAAGAUGGAAUCGCUAGUAAUCGCGAAUCAGCAUGUCGCGGUGAAUACGUUCUCGGGCCUUGUACACACCGCCCGUCACACCAUGAGAGUCGGUAACACCCGAAGCCGGUGGCCUAACCGCAAGGAAGGAGCUGUCUAAGGUGGGACUGAUGAUUGGGGUGAAGUCGUAGCAAGGUA